GGCUAGAGUGUCAGGAGAAGGGAGGAAGGAGGAAAGGAAAGGUUCUAGUCGUGUUUGUGCGCUUGCGUGGGUCGGACGUGGUUCUGUGAAGAGUGUAAAGAUUAGAGUAAGAAAAGAGAAGCCAUGUUUCGAAGACCUUUAUUGCAGGUACUUCAUCAGUUUGUAAGACAUGAGUCUGAAAUAGCUAGCAGUUUGGUUCUUGAAAGAUCCCUGAAUCGUGUUCAGUUACUUGGGCGAGUGGGUCAGGAUCCUGUCAUGAGACAGGUGGAAGGAAAAAAUCCAGUCACGAUAUUUUCUCUAGCAACAAAUGAACUGUGGCGAUCAGGGGACAGUGAAGAAUACCAAAUGGGUGAUGUCAGUCAAAAGACAACAUGGCACAGGAUAUCAGUAUUCCGGCCAGGCCUCAGAGAUGUGGCAUAUCAGUAUGUUAAAAAGGGGGCUCGAAUUUAUGUGGAAGGGAAAGUAGACUAUGGUGAAUACAUGGAUAAAAAUAAUGUGAGGCAACAAGCAACAACGAUCAUAGCUGAUAACAUUAUAUUUCUGAGUGACCAGAUCAAAGAGAAGGCGUAGAAUGGACGAUUCUUCUUUGGCCAUUGUUUGGUACAGUCUCAAUUCCAAUCAUGUAUAGUCUUUGUAGUUUCUAAAGAUAAGAAUUAAAAUACUCCUUUAUAUAAAA